GUGCAAGACUACGACAAGUUGCCAACCUUCAGAAUGCAGUAACAAGCAGUAGUCAGUCACCAAAAACUUUAGUCCGCCUCGUCACACAGACUAUUGAAAAUGAAACUAUACCGUACCAUGUUGUGCUAACAAAAAAGGAACCUCCGGAAUUUGAUGUUCAGGAGAGACACUUGGAACAUGAUGAUGUGACUAUAAACCCUGACAUUGAGGAUUCCAAGUAUACUGAUAAGAUUGAAAUAGUAGAAAACAGUAUUGACUAUGGAGAAGAGGAAGAAACCGCCAUUCAAUC